CCUACGGGUGGCAGCAGUGGGGAAUAUUGCACAAUGGGCGCAAGCCUGAUGCAGCCAUGCCGCGUGUGUGAAGAAGGCCUUCGGGUUGUAAAGCACUUUCAGCGGGGAGGAAGGCGUUAAGGUUAAUAACCUUGGCGAUUGACGUUACCCGCAGAAGAAGCACCGGCUAACUCCGUGCCAGCAGCCGCGGUAAUACGGAGGGUGCAAGCGUUAAUCGGAAUUACUGGGCGUAAAGCGCACGCAGGCGGUCUGUCAAGUCGGAUGUGAAAUCCCCGGGCUCAACCUGGGAACUGCAUUCGAAACUGGCAGGCUAGAGUCUUGUAGAGGGGGGUAGAAUUCCAGGUGUAGCGGUGAAAUGCGUAGAGAUCUGGAGGAAUACCGGUGGCGAAGGCGGCCCCCUGGACAAAGACUGACGCUCAGGUGCGAAAGCGUGGGGGGCAAACAGGAUUAGAUACCCCUGUAGUC
rnacentral:rRNA from 1 species